UACAGAGGGUGCGAGCGUUAAUCGGAAUUACUGGGCGUAAAGCGCACGUAGGCGGCUUGGUAUGUCGGGUGUGAAAUCCCCCGGGCUCAACCUGGGAACUGCAUCCGAAACUGCCUUGCUCGAGUAUGGGAGAGGGAAGUGGAAUUUCCGGUGUAGCGGUGAAAUGCGUAGAUAUCGGAAGGAACAUCAGUGGCGAAGGCGGCGACCUGGGUCGAGACUGACGCUGAGGCGCGAAAGCGUGGGGAGCAAACAGG
rnacentral:rRNA from 1 species